UACGUAGGGUGCAAGCGUUGUCCGGAAUUAUUGGGCGUAAAGAGCUCGUAGGCGGUCUGUCACGUCGGCUGUGAAAACCCGAGGCUCAACCUCGGGCCUGCAGUCGAUACGGGCAAACUAGAGUACUGCAGGGGAGACUGGAAUACCUGGUGUAGCGGUGAAAUGCGCAGAUAUCAGGAGGAACACCGGUGGCGAAGGCGGGUCUCUGGGCAGUAACUGACGCUGAGGAGCGAAAGCGUGGGGAGCGAACAGG
rnacentral:rRNA from 1 species